GACGAACGCUGGCGGCGUGCUUAACACAUGCAAGUCGAACGGAAAGGCCCUGCUUUUGUGGGGUGCUCGAGUGGCGAACGGGUGAGUAACACGUGAGUAACCUGCCCUUGACUUUGGGAUAACUUCAGGAAACUGGGGCUAAUACCGGAUAGGAGCUCCUGCUGCAUGGUGGGGGUUGGAAAGUUUCGGCGGUUGGGGGUGGACUCGCGGCUUAUCAGUUUGUUGGGGGGGUAGGGGCUUACCAAGGCUUUGCGGGGUGGCCGGCCUGAGGGGGUGACCGGCCAAAUGGGGACUGGGAUACGGCCCAGACUCCUACGGGGGGGAGAGGGGGGGAAUAUUGCAAAAGGGGGGGAAGCCUGAUGCAGAAACGCGGGGGGCGGGAUGACGGCCUUGGGGUGGUAAACCGCUUUCGCCUGUGACGAAGGGGGGGGGACGGGAAUGGGUAAAGAAGCACCGGCUAACUACGU
rnacentral:rRNA from 1 species